rnacentral:tRNA from 1 species
UCUCUGCUAGUAUAUCGGUUAGUACACGCGCCUGUCAUUACCUGCUGGCCGCGCGAAAGCUGGGUUCGACUCCCAGGCGGAGAG